ensembl:snRNA predicted gene, 22080
GUGGUUACUGUAGCAGCACAUAUACUCAAAGAAGAAUGAAACAGAAAAGAUUAGUAUGGUGCUGCACAAGGAUAGUAUUACAUAAGAUCAUUUUUUUUCAUUUUU